ACAGGUCUGGAAAAUUAGCAUUUUGGGGUACACUAUCCCUUUAAGUUUGAUGAGCAUCAAAUCCAUCAUUUAAAUAAGAAUACGCCUUUCUUUCAAAAACAAGUACAUUGGAAAAAAACUACAUUUGAUCCAUAAUUCCUUUGACGUCGGAAGUAUACAAAACGUGUUAUUUGAAUGACAAGAGUCCAGUAGUGCUGUUCGUGUCUGUAUGAUAAGAAUCCAGAAGUGCUGUUUAUGUGUUUGUGCGUGUGAACUCCUGAUUAGUGUCUCGUCGCUGCAGCUGCGCCUGCACUGAGCGUGCGCGCGACGGCGCUGCGCGUUUGACAGCAGCAGGAGAAAGAGAAGAGAAGCUGCGGCGCGCGCCGACAAACAACACACUAAACGUACACCAGUCCCAUGAAACCGGACAGGUCGAGGAUUCAUCACUGGAAUCGCAUCAACACUAUUCUGAGCUGCUGACGUCUGGUCAGAACCGGAGUAUCCACUCUUUCAUACAGUCGUAAGAGGUAAGAUGCUUUUUGUUUGAUUCCCUCUGAUUUUUUUGAUGUAUUCAUUGUGAUUCAGUUGCAGUUUCAUCUCAGACAGAGAGAGGAACAGAGCAGAGGCAUAAAAAGAAAAUAUGAUGAAAAAGAAUGAUUGAUGCGAUUUUAUGAUUUAUGACUUGCGUAUCCCUCUUUACUUCACCAAGAUGAACUAAAAAGCUGUUACUGAAAUCGAAAGCAAUGUGCAUAUUUUGGCUGCUUGCACACACUGAUGUGUGCUGACAGAUUGUUAUCAUGUUGAAAGCUGGGAAAUGUGUCUGGUUUGAGGUUUGACUAGUGCAGUUGUGUUUGUGAUCUUUGAUCGUUUAUUGACUAUGUCUUUUAUUCUAUACUAAAAUGGAUUUUGUAAUGAAAUCAUUUAAAGCAGAGGUGGCCUACCUUGGUAAUAUGAAGGGCCAAAAAAGUCAUACCUGAUUGAGGAUUGUGGGCCAAAAGCAAAUGUUGCAUUAUAUCCAACAGUAUUAUAUUUAAAUGUAUUAUAUUUUUCUAAAAUUAAAAUUAAAUUUAACUCAUUUAAAUUAUUAACUUAUAUUUCAAUGCAAAAAUAAUACAGCAAAUGUAAAAACAAAAAUCUAAAUGUGACCUUGGACCACAAAACCAGUCUUAAGUCGCAAAAAAAAAAAACACUCUAUGGGUCA
ensembl:lncRNA